rnacentral:rRNA from 2 species
AGUUCUCGUUGAUGAUCGGUGCUUGCACCGAGAUUCAACAUGGAACGAGUGGCGGACGGGUGAGUAACACGUGGGUAACCUGCCCUUAAGUGGGGGAUAACAUUUGGAAACAGAUGCUAAUACCGCAUAGAUCCAAGAACCGCAUGGUUCUUGGCUGAAAGAUGGCGUAAGCUAUCGCUUUUGGAUGGACCCGCGGCGUAUUAGCUAGUUGGUGAGGUAAUGGCUCACCAAGGCGAUGAUACGUAGCCGAACUGAGAGGUUGAUCGGCCACAUUGGGACUGAGACACGGCCCAAACUCCUACGGGAGGCAGCAGUAGGGAAUCUUCCACAAUGGACGCAAGUCUGAUGGAGCAACGCCGCGUGAGUGAAGAAGGCUUUCGGGUCGUAAAACUCUGUUGUUGGAGAAGAAUGGUCGGCAGAGUAACUGUUGUCGGCGUGACGGUAUCCAACCAGAAAGCCACGGCUAACUACGUGCCAGCAGCCGCGGUAAUACGUAGGUGGCAAGCGUUAUCCGGA